rnacentral:rRNA from 1 species
CACCCCUCCAGAUUGAAUAUACCCGAUCUCGUCUGAUCUCGGAAGUCAAGCAAUCUCGGGCUUGGUUAGUACUUGGAUGGGUGACCGCUUGGGAAUACCAAGUGUGAUAAGCA